GUCCGCGUAGAGUAGUGGUCAUCUCGCCAGAAUCACACCCACUCCCCAUUCUUCCUCCGACAUGAGGAAGAGUGGGGAGUGAGUAAGUCCCCUCUGGAUAUCGUCGGUUCGAACCCGACCGCGGGCA